UAAUUACAUUUUAUCAUAUAUCACACAUAUACAUUUUAUAAACAUAUACAAAAUCACCACCCACAAUAUGAUAUAGAGCAUUUCCAACACCUGAGAAGACUUCUCUGUGUUCCUUGAUAGGUAAACGUCCAAUUAUCACUAUAAAUUAAUUUUACUGGUUCUUGAACUUCAUCUAAAUGGAGUCAGACAGUAUGUGUAUUCUUUUGUGUCUGGUUUCUGUUACUCAACACAUGUUUUUGAGAUUCACCCAUGUUGUUGUGUUUAACAGUUUAUUACUUGUUCUUUUAUACUGCUCUAUACAUUCCAUUGUAUAACUAUACCACAAUUUAUCCAUUCUACUAUUGAUGGGCAUUUGAGUAGUUUCUCUUUUUGUCUUUUAUGCAUAAAAGCUGCUCUAGGGUGACCCCCAUGGCCCCGCUCGGAGGCGUACCGGGGCUGGUGCUGCUGUUCAGCGGGAAGAGGAAAUCCAGGAAGGACUUCGUGACCGAGGCGCUUCAGAGCAGGCUAGGGGCUGACGUGUGUGCUGUCCUCCGGCUCUCCGGUCCACUCAAGGAGCAGUACGCUCAGGAGCACGGCUUGGACUUCCAGAGACUCCUGGAUGCCUGCACCUACAAGGAGGCCUAUCGGAGGGACAUGAUCCGCUGGGGCAAGGAGAAGCGUCGGGCUGACCCAGGCUUCUUCUGCAGGAAGAUUGUGGAGGGGGUCUGCCAGCCUGUCUGGCUAGUGAGUGAUACAUGGAGAGUGUCUGACAUCCAGUGGUUUCAGGAGGCCUAUGGGGAUGUGACACAGAUGGUCCGUGUGGUGGCCACAGAGGAGAGCCGGCAGCAGCGGGGCUGGGUGUUCACACCAGGGGUGGACGACGCUGAGUCAGAGUGUGGCCUGGACAACUUUGGGACCUUCGAUUGGGUCAUUGAGAACCACGGGGAUGAGCAGAGCCUGGAGGAGCAGUUGGAGCACCUGCCUAAUGCCCUCAAAGUUCAUCCAUGUUGCUGCCAAAGGUUGGCCCUGAUGCCUCUUAACAUGGGAGGACCCAGUGGCUAACUAGAGUCACUUCUGCUGGACUUGAAGAUUCUCUGCACUUUAAAAAAAAACCCUGGGACUUGCCUGGUAGCACAGUGGAAAAGAACCUGCCUGCCAAUGCAGGGGACAC